rnacentral:lncRNA from 1 species
ACAAUUAUACUAAGAAAAUUCCCAGUUAAAUUGGAGGGGUCACAAUGGUCCCGCUUAAAACCCAACAACUAGACAGAACUCACUUAGAUAUUUAUAGCAAUAAUAACUAAAUAAAUAUAACCAACAUAAAGCUAUUAAAUAUAAGCAAACAAAUAAGAAAUAAAAUACCAGAGAUUUAACGAGGUUCGGCCAAUUUAGCUUACGUCCUCGGACACUACCAAAUUAAUAUUUCUUCUAGAAAUAUUACAAAGAAGAAGAUUUUGGGAUGAUAAAACCAAAGGGGGAGGGGUUCUAUAUAUAACAAACCAAACCCCCUCCCUUUCUAUCUUUUCCUAAUGUGGGAUAUUGCCAAUAUUCAACAAAUCUCCACCUUGGCGAUAUUCCACAUCUUCGAACAUCUUCUCAUAACACAAACUUCAAUAGUGUCUUCAAAUUUGCGCCAAACGACGCCAUAUCAAAUGUGUCGAACAUUGAUCAAGUCUAAACAAUGUUCAAACUUGGCCCUUGUAACCACCUUAGUCAACAUAUCUGCAGGAUUCCCCGUAGUGUGAAUCUUUUGGAGAAAUAUCUCCUCUUCUUCGAGAAUUUCCCGCACAAAAUGAUAGCGAACGUCUAUGUGCUUCAUUCGUGCAUGAAAGACUUGAUUCUUUGCUAAAUGAAUAGCACUCUAACUGUCAGAAUAUACCUCAAGUUGUUUCUGACCAACUUCCAAGUCUUUAAGCAAUCCGUGAAGCCAAAUUGCUUCCUUCACAGCCUCUGUAAUUGCCAUAUACUCUGCCUCUGUUGUAGACAAAGCCACCGUGGACUGUAAGGUAGAUUUCCAACUAACUGGAGCUUUUGCUAAAGUAAACAAAUAGCCAGUUGUAGACCGUCGCUUAUCCAAAUCACCUGCAUAAUUAGAAUCACAAUAUCCAACUAUGCAUUGACCAAGUGAUUCAUCUCGCUCGAAAGCCAAUCCGACAUCUAUGGUAUUUUGGAGAUACCGCAGAAUCCAUUUCACAGCUUGCCAAUGACCCCUGCCCGGAUCAUGCAUGUACCUGCUAACAACACUAACAGCCUGUGAAAUAUCUGGUCUCGUACAUACCAUUGUAUACAUCAAGCUUCCAACUGCAUUUGCAUAUGGGACUUUUGCCAUGUACUCUCGUUCUUCCUUAGUCGUUGGAGAUAACUGGUUACUCAGUUUAAAAUGAGGAGCAAGUGGGGUACUUACAGGUUUUGAACCUUCAGACAUACCAAAACGUUGUAGUACCUUCUCCAAAUACUGUUUUUGUGACAGCCAAAGUUUGCCCCUCUUUCUAUCCCGAGUUAUUUCCAUGCCGAGAAUCUUCUUGGCUUCCCCUAAAUCCUUCAUCUCAAACUCUUUACUCAACUGAGCCUUCAGUCUAUCAAUCUCCAUUUGGCUCUUUGCUGCAAUCAGCAUAUCAUCAACAUACAAGAGUAAGUAGAUGUAGGAACUAUCUUGAAGCUUGCGCAAAUACACACAAUGAUCGUAUUUGCUUCUUCUAUACUUCUGGUCCUUCAUGAACCUGUCAAAUCGUUUGUACCAUUGUCUCGGAGAUUGUUUCAAUCCGUACAACGAUUUGCUAAGUUUACAAACCCAAUUUUCUUUACCAGCAACCCUGUAUCCAUCUGGCUGAGUCAUAUAGAUUUCCUCCUUCAAAUCGCCGUGUAGAAACGCGGUCUUCACAUCAAGUUGAGCUAGCUCCAAAUUGAACUGCGUUACCAAAGCCAACAAAAUUCUAAUUGAGGAAUGUUUAACAACUGGAGAAAAUACCUCAUUAUAGUCAAUUCCCUCCUUCUGAGCGUAGCCUUUAGCCACCAACCUUGCCUUGUAACGAACAUCUUCUUUGUCAGGAAAUCCUUCUUUCUUUGCAAAUACCCAUUUGCAACCAAUCGCCUUUUUCCCUUUUGGUAGUUGUGCCAACUUCCACGUCUUGUUUUUCUCUAGAGAUUGCAUUUCCUCUUCCAUUGCACCUAACCAUCUAUUAUUCUCUAAACCUUGAAUGGCUUCGGUGUAAGUGGAUGGAAUAUUAUCAACAACUGGAAGUGCAUAAGCUACCAUGUCAGUGAAACGAGCAGGUUUCUGAAUUUCUCGUCUUUGCCUUCUGACUGCAAUUGGCUCUGAUUGCUGUUGAGGUUCUUGGGUAGAAACCUCUUCCUCAUCUGACUCUGCAUCUGCCAAUGAAGAAUCACUAGUGGUACCUUUUGCUGGAAUUACCACACUCUGCUCAAACUCCACCUGCUGCGGAGUACACUCCACCUGCUGCGAAGUACUACUCACUCCUUCUGGAUUUACCUUAUUCAACAUGGCAGAUUCAUGAAAGGUAACAUCCCUACUGAUUAUCGUCUUCUUUGCCUCUAGACACCACAAACGAUAUCCCUUAACACCAGCAUUGAAGCCCAUGAAUAGAGCCUUCUUUGCUCUUGGAUCUAACUUUGAUUCUUUCACAUGAUAAUAUGCAAUAGAACCAAAAAUGCGCAAGGUGUCAUAAUCAGUAGCAGGUUUUCCAUACUAUUUCUCCAAAGGAGUCUUGCCAUUUAUAGCAGAUGAUGGCAAAUGAUUGAUGAGAUGUUGAGCGUACGUCACAGCCUCAGUCCAAAACUUUCUAUCUAAUCCAGCAUUAGAUAACAUACAUCGAACUUUCUCCACAAGCGUUCGAUUCAUACGCUCUGCCACCCCAUUCUGUUGCGGUGUUCCACCUACGGUGAAGUGCCUUACUAUGCCACAAUCUUGGCAUAUCUUCAGGAAUGGAUCGCUUUUAUAUUCUCCACCGUUGUCUGAUCGGAGAACCUUAAUCUUCCUUCCUGUCUGAUUUUCAACUUUAGUUUUCCACUUAAGGAAAACUUCAAGCACCUCACAUUUGUUCUUCAUAGGAAACACCCAAACUCUUCUGGAAAAAUCAUCAAUAAAGGUGACAAAAUAACGUCUUCCUCCAAGUGAUGGAGUCUUGGACGGUCCCCAUACAUCAGAAUGCACAUAAUCUAGAAUACCUUUGGUAUUGUGAAUCCCAGUGCCAAAUUUCACCCUUCGUUGUUUUCCCAGAACACAAUGCUCGCAAAAUUCAAGUUUGCAAGUCUUUGUACCUUUCAAUAAUCCUUGCUUGGCUAGAGUUUGCAAGGAUUUUUCACCAGCAUGGCCCAAACGCAUAUGCCACAGCUGUGUUGCCUUAGCGUCCUUCUUGGUACUCGAAAUUGCUGCUGCUGUUGUCCCGACCACUGUACUACCUUGGUAGUAAUACAGAUUGUUCUUUCUUAUGCCUUUCAACAUCACCAAUGCUCCUGAAGUUGCUUUAAGAACUCCAUCUCGUAUUGUCACAACUAGGCCUUUAGAUUCUAACGACCCCAAAGAGAUGAGAUUCUUCUUCAACUUUGGGACAUAUCGUACAUCCCGCAAAAUUCUAGUAGAUCCAUCAUGACUCCUCAGUUUAAUUGAACCUAUCCCGGCUAUUUUACAUGUGUUAUCAUUACCCAUGUAAACAACCCCUUCAUCUAGUUUUUGAAAUUCAAAGAACCAUUCCCGAAUGGGACACAUAUGAUAGGAACAACCAGAAUCCAUGAUCCACUCAUCUGCAUGUAAUGUUGAAGAUGUCAUACUAAGAGAAAAGUCUGACUCUGCUUCACUAUUGCAUUCUGCAACAUUUGCAUCUUGCGGAGUCUUCCCUUUUUUCUUCAAUUUUGGACAAUCUUUCUUCCAAUGUCCUUUUUCUUUGCAAAAGGAACAUUCAUCUUUGGCAACAGCUCGACCUUUGGACUUUCUUCUCUUCCCCUUAGACUGACUUUGCUGACGACCUCUUGUUACCAAUGCUUCCACUGCUGCUUCACCUGAACCUUUCAACUUAUCCUUUCGGCGUAGUUCAUAGCUAUACAAUGCAGCAGUUACUUCAUUGAAAGUUACUUCCGAUUUUCCAUGAAGUAGAGUAGUUUCAAGGUACUCAAACUCCUCAGGAAGCGAUCCCAACAACAUUAACGCCAAGUCUUCGUCUUCAAAAGUCACAUCCAAAUUCAACAAAUCAGCCACCAGCUGAUUAAAAUUGGUAAUGUGCUCGUUCAUCGUGGUACCAGGAACAUAAUUGAAACGAAACAGUCUUUUCUUCAUAUGCAACUUAUUUGACUGUUCUUCUUCAAGAAUUUCUUCUCCAAUGCUUUCCACAAUUUACUUGCAGAAGUCUCUUUACUGAAUGUAUACUUCUGCUCUCUGGAAAGACAUGAUCGAAUUGUACCACAUGCCAAUCGGUUGAUGGUCUUCCAUUCUUUAUCAUCAACCCCUUCUGGUUUUUCUUCCUCAAUGGUAAUAUCUAGACCCUGUUGAAAGAGGGCAUCUAGAAGCUCACUUUGCCACAUGCCGAAAUGACCUGUUCCAUCAAAAAUUUCCACUACAAAUCUCGUAUUUGCAGUUCCAAUCCUCGGCAAAAUGUACGAAGUGGAAGUUGUUGAUAUGGAUGGUUUUUCUUCUGUCAUUUUUGCCAUAGCUUCUACUUAAUAGCCACCAAAUGCAGAAUACCCACAAGCUUUAGGAAAUGUUUCUGAUGUGUAAGAUCAGACUAAGCUGCAAACACAGAGCAUACUACAAAACCUUGGCUCGGAUACCAAUUGUUGCGGAAGCGACGAUAAUAUUAAUAACAAUAUUAUCAGAAAUAUUUAGAUAAUUAUUAUGCCAACAAUUAUACUAAGAAAAUUCCCAGUUAAAUUGGAGGGGUCACAAUGGUCCCGCUUAAAACCCAACAACUAGACAGAACUCACUUAGAUAUUUAUAGCAAUAAUAACUAAAUAAAUAUAACCAACAUAAAGCUAUUAAAUAUAAGCAAACAAAUAAGAAAUAAAAUACCAGAGAUUUAACGAGGUUCGGCCAAUUUAGCUUACGUCCUCGGACACUACCAAAUUAAUAUUUCUUCUAGAAAUAUUACAAAGGAGAAGAUUUUGGGAUGAUAAAACCAAAGGGGGAG